UUCUGGUGGAAUAGUAGUCCCUUCCAACUCUGGCAUUGAAAUUACCAACAAGAAUAAGUCCAUCUCCCUCCAGAAUGUCAGAAAAGACUUGAUCAAGGUUGGCAUAGAAUUCCUCCUUGGUUUCACUGGCAGUGUCAACAGUCAGGGCAUAUGUACUGAUGACAGUGGUACAUUGAUUCUUCACAAGUUUAAGACAGUGGGGAGCUCCAAUAAUCAUUGACCUUCAGUAUGAUGAUGAUGCUGUAGUGUGUGCUCCCUCGGAAGCAGACCUUCACCCAAUUGUCAACAUCAUUACCGAGGCAUACAAGAAAAUGGGACUCAUGCUUAACAUUCAAAAGACUAAGGCCUUCUACCAACAAACUCCUAAUGAACAGUCCCCAGCUCCAGUAAUCCAGAUCCAUGGUGAGACUCUG